ACUCAUCUUUGCUUUAAUUCUCUCCUGAAGAAGGGGAAGAAGAAGAGGAGCGCCAUUAGAGGCCCGAUCUGUCGUGCUUGAUCCGAUCGACAAACACAUCAAGUCCCCAUGGGAAGGAGAAGCGCCAUUGACGGCCCCCAUACUUCGCGCUUCAUCCCAUAAGAGCUAAUUUGAUAACCAAUGGCUUCAGGUUUAUCCAAGUAGUUUCUACUCGAUAGUAACCCAACCAAAGCAAAGGCAAAAAGAAAAAGAAAACAACGUAGAAUGUUAUCUUAUCAUUUCAAUUCAUCUCUAUGAAAUGGACAACCAAGAUAUGAGAAGAGGGGAAAAGAAAGAAAGGGGCAAGAAACUCAUCUUUGCUUUAAUUCUCUCCUAAAGAAGGGGAAGAAGAAGAGGAGCGCCAUUAGGGGCCCGAUCCUUCGCGCUUGAUAAGAUCGACGAGCACAUCAAGUCCCCAUCGUCCUCUUCGUCUUCGUCUCCAUCGUUGGCAAGGAGUAGUUGGAGAGAGGAGAGCGCGAGGUCGAAGGGGAAGGAGGAGCGCCAUUGACGGGCCCCAUACUUCGCGCUUUAUCACAUAAGAGCUAAUUAGAUAACCAAUGGCUUCAGGUUUAUCCAAGUAGUUUCUACUCGAUAGUAACCCAACCAAAGCAAAGGCAAAAAGAAGAAGAAAACAACGUAAAAAGUUAUCUUAUCAUUUCAAUUCAUCUCUAUGAAAUGGACAACCAAGAUAUGAGAAGAGGGGAAAAGAAAGGGGCAAGAAACUCAUCUUUGCUUUAAUUCUCUCCUGAAGAAGGGGAAGAAGAAGAGGAGCGCCAUUAAGGGCCCGAUCCUUCGCGCUUGAUCAGAUCGACGAACACAUCAAGUCCCCAUCGUCCUCUUCGUCUUCGUCUCCAUCGUUGGCAAGGAGUAGUUGGAGAGAGGAGAGCGCGAGGUCGAAGGGGAAGGAGGAGCGCCAUUGACGGCCCCCAUACUUCGCGCUUCAUCCCAUCGACGAACACCUCAAGAACCCCCCACUCUCGUCCUCAUUUUCUCCUUCUACAUCGCCAUUGUUGGAGAAGCAAAGAUUGAUCGAGAGCGCGAGAUCGAGGAAGGACGAGGGCGCCAUUGGGGGCUCCAUCGCGCUUGAUCCGAUCGCCGAACUCCUCAAGAACACCUCCCUUAUGGCCUCUCAUCGUCUUCUUCGCCUACGUCGCCAUCGCUGGUGAAUCGGAGUCGGAGAGAGGAGAGCGAGCGAGCGAUCGAGAGGGGGAGGAAGGAAAUUGGGAUGCGGGAGGAGAGGAGCGAAAAAGAGGCCAUCGAAGAGAGAGCUCGCCAGGACGGCAGGACCCAGCAUAUAUACAGUGUGAAAUGACCGUUGGGGGUCGUGACGUUCGUCGCCGUUCCUAAUAGUCGUCGGUUUCUGCAAAAUUUGAAAAUCGACGUUACUGCGAAGCCGACUCGGAUUUGUAACACUGCUUGGAAUUGAGUCACCACGUCAUCCGUG
rnacentral:lncRNA from 1 species